UAUCCCUUGAUGUACUAUACAACUUAAAAACAAGAAUCAAAAGACAAAGCAUACAGCAGAAAACAAUGGGGACCGAAACCCCUUCAAUGUCCUCUCUAGCCUCACGAAUAUGCAAUCACAUGGCCUCCAUCUUUGCCAAACCCACUGGCCCCCACCCACCACCCUUAGACCUCAUGGUCACCACUCUCACUUCCACGGCAGCCCAAAAUGGUCGGGUCUUCCUCUAUGGGGUUGGUAGGGAGGGCCUGAUGCUCAAGGCUCUAUGCAUGAGGCUGGCUCACCUUGGCAUCUCUACCCACUUUGUCUUUGACAUGACAACCCCACCAAUCACUUCAAAUGACCUCCUCAUAGCCUCUGCUGGACCUGGAGGAUUCUCUACUGUUGAUGCUUUAUGCUCACUCGCAAGAUCGUAUGGUGCUACAGUGUUGUUGUUGACGGCUCAGCCUGAUACAGGAUCCUGUGUGAAGCAUGCUAGCGUGGUUUGUUAUGUGCCAGCACAGACCAUGGCUGAUGACAAGGGUGAUGGCGAUGGCGGCGAGGAGAAAUCUAGGCCUUUAAUGCCUAUGGGAAGUGUUUUUGAGGGGGCCUUGUUUGUGUUCUUUGAGAUGGUUGUUUACAAGUUAGGUGAGGCUUUAGGACAGAGCCCUGAGGUCAUUCGAUCUCGCCAUACCAACCUUGAAUGAAAAAAAUGGGUUUCUUUCCGGCAAUUUUGUAGGCACUCCAAAAUCUCCAUCUGUUGAGGUUAUUUCUGGCUGCCUUUGUUUGUUUUUAUGGGGCGGUCUCUCUUUUUGGAGGUUGUUUUUAUAUGCCAUAUAUACGCAAGCUUUAAAUUAUUUGCUCAUAAACAGAGUCUGAGUCGAGGCAUUUUCUCAAAGCUUAUAUAUAUAUGUGCUGCCAAAUGCAGCAAAAUCACGUCAGUCUUACCUUUCUCUGUGAAGAGUUGAUCCGCCUCCCAUGCCGGAUUAUGGAUUCGAUCCUAUCAUCUCUUCAAAGUCAUCGUCGUGUUUACGGAGCUGUACAUGGAAACUUUCCAUUAAAAUGGGUGCGCAUCCCUCUCAGUCACUUCUUCAAGAAAACAUGUUACUCAAAAAAUAAAAAUAAAGCAGGAACAUCUCUCUCUCUCUCUGUAUUUCAAUCCUUGACGUGGCAGACCGAUCCCUGCUGCUUGCUGUUCCUGUCAUGUUCGCCGAUGAUCACGAGGUCAGCAGUCAAUUCAAGUGGAUUGCCAGAUGGAUAUCACCACAUGGCAGUCUGCGAUUAGCGCAGGCAUAGAGCCCCACGUGCACGGGGGGUUUCCAUCACGUGGUCUUGUAAUAGCCAGGGAAAAAAUCAAAGAGCAUGGACUUUGCAGGCUUGUGUCUCUGCUGGCUCAACACACGAUGAAGGUGGUCUUGAUUAAGCCGUGGGCUGAUUGAAUAAAUGAUUAAACUCUCUACACGCA